rfam:Erinaceus europaeus unplaced genomic scaffold scaffold00059, whole genome shotgun sequence
GAAUGGGUUACGAAGAAGAGCUGGUCACCCCAUUGAUAGCCAGGGUUGAUUCGGCUGAUCUGGCUGGCUAGGCGGGUGUCCCCUUCCUCCCUCACUGCUCCAUGUGUGUCCCUCCUGAAGCUGCGCGCUCGGUCGAAGAGGACGGCCUUUCCCAAAUAGAGACGGACCAGUCUUCGGUCAAGGGUAUAUGAGUAGCUGCGCUCCCCUGCUAGAACCUCCAAACAAGCUCUCAAGAAGAAGAGCUAUUAAAUUUAUCUCCAGAGGAAAAAAUGUUUAUUCAU